rnacentral:rRNA from 1 species
CAGUCGCCGCGGGAAUACGUAGGGUGCGAGCGUUAAUCGGAAUUACUGGGCGUAAAGCGUGCGCAGGCGGUUCGUUAAGACAGAUGUGAAAUCCCCGGGCUUAACCUGGGAACUGCAUUUGUGACUGGCAAGCUAGAGUAUGGCAGAGGGGGGUGGAAUUCCGCGUGUAGCAGUGAAAUGCGUAGAUAUGCGGAGGAACACCGAUGGCGGAGGCAGCCCCCUGGGCCAAUACUGACGCUCAUGCACGAAAGCGUGGGGAGCAGACAGGAUUAGAUACCCCGGUAGUCCCUGUCUCUUAUAC